AAUUGUUGAAAAUUCAACCCCUAAGUGGGUAAAACAGGGCUUUGAAAUUUGUGUAGUCCACACGGACGAAGUCGUGAACAUAAGCUAGUAUUA